rnacentral:rRNA from 1 species
UACGUAGGGGGCUAGCGUUGUCCGGAAUCAUUGGGCGUAAAGAGCGUGUAGGCGGCCCGGUAAGUCCGCUGUGAAAGUCAAAGGCUCAACCUUUGAAAGCCGAUGGAUACUGCGGAGCUAGAGUACGGAAGAGGCGAGUGGAAUUCCUGGUGUAGCGGUGAAAUGCGCAGAUAUCGGGAAGAACACCCGUGGCGAAGGCGGCUCUCUGGGACGGUACUGACGCUGAGGAGCGAAAGCGUGGGGAGCGAACAGG